CCAGCGCGGCGGGACAAAGCGGGGCCGGGCCGGGCCGGGCCGGCGGCAUGGAGCGCGGAGCGGAGCGGGGCCGGCGGCGCGGCCCGCAGCCCCGCUAGGAGCCGAGCCGGGGCGGGCCGGGCCGGGCGAUGCGGCGGUGAGCGCGGCGGGGCCGGGGCCGCCGCGAUGCUCCGCCGCAGCCUCAGCCGCCUGUGUGCUGGCGAGGAGAAGCGCGUGGGCACGCGCACCGUGCUGGUGGGGCACCGGCCCGUGCCGGACACCGAGGCCUACGUGGCACAGAAGUUCUGUGACAACAGGAUCGUCUCCUCCAAGUACACCCUCUGGAACUUCCUCCCGAAGAACCUUUUUGAGCAGUUCCGAAGAAUUGCCAACUUCUACUUCCUCAUCAUCUUCCUCGUGCAGGUGAUAGUGGACACCCCGACCAGCCCGGUGACCAGUGGCCUCCCUCUCUUCUUUGUCAUCACUGUCACAGCCAUCAAACAGGGCUACGAGGACUGGUUGAGGCACAGGGCUGACAACGAAGUGAACAAGAGCAAUGUCUUUGUUGUGGAAAAUGCAAAGCAAGUGCGGAAAGAGAGUGAAAAAAUCAAGGUUGGAGACAUAGUGGAAGUGAAAGCAGAUGAGACCUUCCCCUGUGACCUGAUCUUUUUGGCCUCCAGCAGCACUGAUGGCACCUGUUACGUCACCACAGCCAGCCUGGACGGCGAGUCCAAUUUCAAGACCCACUACGCGGUGCGGGACACCACCGUGCUCUGCACUGACGAGGCCAUCGACACCCUCACGGCCACCAUCGAGUGUGAGCAGCCCCAGCCCGACCUCUACAAGUUUGUUGGAAGGAUUAUCAUCUAUGGGAGUAACCAAGAGCCUGUAGCCAGGUCUUUGGGUCCUGAAAACCUGUUGUUGAAAGGUGCUACCCUCAAAAAUACCAAGAAGAUUUAUGGAGUUGCAGUCUACACCGGGAUGGAAACAAAAAUGGCUCUCAACUACCAAGGGAAAUCUCAGAAGCGGUCUGCAGUAGAGAAAUCCAUCAACGCUUUCUUGAUAGUGUAUUUGUGCAUCUUACUGGGCAAGGCCACUGUGUGCACGACUCUGAAAUAUGUCUGGCAGAGUAAUCCGUUUAAUGAUGAGCCUUGGUACAACGAGAAGACUAAAAAAGAGAGGGACACGUUCAAGGUCUUGCGGAUGUUCACGGACUUCCUGUCCUUUAUGGUGCUCUUCAAUUUUAUCAUCCCAGUCUCCAUGUACGUCACGGUGGAGAUGCAGAAGUUCUUGGGCUCCUUCUUCAUCUCCUGGGACAAGGAGAUGUAUGAUGAAGAGAUACAGGAGGGAGCCCUGGUGAACACUUCGGACCUGAAUGAGGAGCUGGGGCAGGUGGAGUACGUGUUCACAGACAAGACCGGGACACUGACAGAGAACAGCAUGGAGUUCAUCGAGUGCUGCAUCGACGGGCACAAGUACAAAGACUGCAUCACAGAGGUGGAUGGCUUCUCGCAGACCGAUGGACCCCUCAAGUACUAUGGCAAAGCUGAGAAGAGCCGUGAGGAGCUGUUCCUGAGGGCCCUGUGCCUGUGCCACACGGUUCAGAUCAAGGAAGCAGACCAGGUGGAUGGGCUGGUGGCACACCCAGAACGCAAAUACACCUACAUCUCCUCCUCCCCAGAUGAAAUCGCUUUGGUCAAAGGCGCAGAGAAGUAUGGUUUCACUUUUCUAGGACUUGAAAACAAUGUCAUGAAAAUACGAAACCAAAAGAAUGAAACUGAGAUGUACCAACUUCUCCACGUGCUGAACUUCGACCCCGUGCGGCGCCGCAUGAGUGUCAUUGUGAGAACCAGCACAGGAAAGUUGCUUCUCUUCUGUAAAGGAGCAGACUCCUCUAUUUUUCCAAGGGUGCAGCAAGAAGAAAUCCAACAAACAAAAGUCCAUGUGGACCGCAAUGCUAUGGAUGGCUACAGAACGCUCUGUGUGGCCUUCAAAGAGCUAACUGAAAAGGAGUAUGACAAAAUUGACAGACAGCUCAAUGAAGCCAAGAUGGCUCUGCAGGACAGGGAGGAGAAGAUGGCCAAGGUUUUUGAUGACACAGAAGCAGACAUGCACCUGAUUGGGGCCACUGCUGUAGAGGACAGGCUGCAGGAGCAGCUGGCAGAGACCAUCGAGGCGCUGCACGCGGCUGGCAUGAAGGUUUGGGUGCUGACAGGAGACAAGAUGGAGACGGCCAAAUCCACGUGCUACGCCUGCAGGCUGUUCCAGACCAGCACGGAGCUGCUGGAGCUGACGGCCAGGACGGUGGGCGAGAGCGGCCGGAAGGAGGAUCGGCUCCAUGAGCUGCUGCUGGAGUACCACAAGAAGCUCAUUCAGGACCUUCCCAAGAGCAGGGGGGGCCUGAAGAGGAGCUGGACGUUGAGUCAAGAGUAUGGACUGAUCAUAGAUGGCUCAACGCUGUCGCUGAUACUCAACCCCUCUCAGGACUCUGGCUCCAGCAAUUACAAAAGCAUAUUCCUGCAGAUCUGCUUGAAGUGCACUGCAGUCCUCUGCUGCCGGAUGGCUCCUCUGCAGAAAGCACAGAUUGUGCGAAUGGUGAAGAACACGAAAGGAAGCCCGAUAACCCUCUCGAUAGGGGAUGGUGCCAAUGAUGUCAGUAUGAUUCUGGAAGCACAUGUUGGCAUAGGGAUAAAAGGCAAAGAAGGACGCCAGGCCUCCAGAAACAGCGACUAUGCUGUGCCAAAGUUUAAACAUUUAAGAAAACUGCUACUAGCACAUGGGCAUUUGUAUUAUGUGAGAAUAGCACACCUUGUACAGUAUUUCUUCUAUAAGAACCUUUGCUUCAUUUUACCACAGUUUUUAUACCAGUUCUUUUGUGGAUUCUCACAGCAGCCGCUGUACGAUGCUGCUUACCUGACCAUGUACAACAUCUGCUUCACGUCGCUGCCCAUCCUGGCCUACAGCCUCCUGGAGCAGCACAUCAGCAUCGACACGCUCACCUCGGACCCCCAGCUCUACAUGAAGGUGUCGGACAAUGCAAUGCUGCAGUGGAGGCCCUUCCUGUACUGGACCUUUCUGGGCGCCUUUGAAGGACUGGUGUUUUUCUUUGGGGUUUAUUUUCUCUUUCAAAACUCCUCGUUGGAAGACAACGGAAAGAGCUUGACAGCCUUUGGUGUUUGGGAACUGGACCUUUGGGACGAUUGUUUUCACCGUGCUGGUGUUCACCGUCACGCUCAAGCUAGCGUUAGACACCCGAUUCUGGACGUGGAUGAACCACUUUGUGAUCUGGGGCUCCCUUGCUUUCUAUGUGUUUUUCUCAUUCUUUUGGGGAGGAGUCAUUUGGCCUUUCUUGAAGCAGCAAAGAAUGUAUUUUGUAUUUGCUCAUAUGCUGACUUCUGUUUCCACGUGGCUGGCAAUAAUUCUCCUGAUCUUUAUCAGCCUCUUCCCAGAAAUUCUUCUAAUAGUUUUAAAAAAUAUAAAAGAGAAAAAUCAUCAGAGCAGCAGGAAGGCACCUGAUUCAUUGUCGGCCAGACCUUCUGUCAGACCUCUUCUUUUAAGAACCUUCUCAGAUGAGUCUAAUGUGUUGUAACAGGCUGGCCCCUUUGAUCUGCCUGUGUUAGUGUCAUACAAACGUAUAGAGAAUGGUUAUGUGAAGGCUGAAGAUGCUGUCACUAAUUUGGCAGAAAGAUAUCCCCUCAGGAUACCUUGAAGUGCUCCACACAAACCCUGCACACUGUCAUGCUGUAGGAACCCGUGGUUUUAACCUGGCAGUGACCUUUGAUAGCACCAAGGACUGCAAGCAGCCAGGGCACUGGGGACCCGUUAGUCUUUGGUCUUGAGGCUUCCCUGCCCCCCCAGAAAAACCAGUUCUGCCAAAUCCUACAUCACUGGAGGCUGAGAAAGCAUCUUUAGGAGUUCACCCCACACAGCACGGCUGGAAGUGCAAGAGUGCAGUGCCAGCCCCACUUCACACGGGGCUCCCGUGCAGCUGCAGGGCUGCUCCAGGCUCCUGCUCUGCCUGACCAAAGAAGUAGCACAGACUUCAACCCAGUCACAUUCCCCUCCAGCCCCCGGAGGCACUGGGAAGAGGCUGCUCCCCUCGCACGAAGGCGGAUGCAGCCCUGGAGCCCCUCUCCUGGUGCCUGGCAGCUGCCCCCUCCCAGCCAGGGGUUCCCAGGUGCACACGGCAGGAGCACUGAAAAUUCGGGAGCAAUCUUUGCCACUCUCUCCUCCAGGUGGAGCUGGAAGCAGUCUGUGCUCUGUCCACAGCAGUGGUGUCCAUGUGAAAGCUGCAGUGCUGCAAGUGCCAGAGCAUCCUCCCACAGCCAGUUUGCUGAUGGGUUUAUUCCUGCUGGAGAGUGAAGAAAAGGUUGUUUUGGGGCUGUUUGUGAUGGAAGGAAGCUUUUGUGGGGGAAAAAGGAAUGCCAGAAGUUGGGCUGUGCCAGACUCUGAGCACCAGGCUCCUGUGGCUGUGCUUACAUUGCUGCAGUGCAGUGGCUCCAACACUUUGAAGGCCUGAGGGACAGUGUAGUCCUUGGCUGAUCCCAGGGACAUGGGCUGUGCCUGCCAACCUGCAGCUGUAUAAAACUGCAUCUUGAGUUAUUUGCACUAAGAAAAAAGAAGACAGUUUAAAAUUGAAUGCGUGAGCCUGAUUUCAUUUUACACUUUGUUUUUUAAAUUGGCAUGUUCUUUUUAAAUCUACCUGUACCAUGGUAGUAGGAACUUUCCUCUUUAGGUUCUGCACAGCAACGGUGAGAUGCCUGACUCUCAAUAUUUUUUUUUCUCUGAUACUUCACGUGUGGAAAGAGCAGCUUCUUUUGUUGUGUUACGUCCUGAGCAGUGACAGAGCAGCCUGUGUGCCCUGCUGGUUGGUGUGGCAGCCCCUGCCUCGUGCUGGUGUCCCCAGAGGAGCUGCUGGGAGAAGCUUCGGGGCUCCUUUCAGGAGCAGCAAGCUCUGCACUGCCCUGGCUUUGGCUCCUGCUCGCUCAGCCUUGUGUCGUGUACGUACCACAGAACAAUUUGGGUUAACAGAACAUUCCCUCACUGUGUUUUGUUGAACUGCAGACUGUUAAUUUUUGGAAGAAUCAAGUCUUGCUCUCUGGCUGCCAUCCCUGCGGUUCAUCUGCGACCGGCGCGGAUCAGCUGCUGGCAGAUUCUCUCGUGCACCAUGAGGACGUUGGAUGGGCCUUACCUGGGAGGGAGAGGGGAGUGCACAGUGCUGGGGCUGCUCUGCCAUCGCCCAGCACGGGAGGGACGGAUGGACAGGAGCGCUGUAUCGUACACUCUGCGCUGGCCUCGGCACGCGCGGCUCGGCUCCCUGCUGCGUGCCAGCCAGGAGCUGCACUGCCAGCACGUGUCCCGUGGGCAAAGCUUCCCUUUCCUGCGCUCUUUGGUUUUCCCAUUUCCCCAGCUCAUUUCACAGACUAGGAUUCGACUUGCAGACCUUGUCCCGUGCUCAGCUUCCCUUGCAGAAAUGCGGUGCCUACAGAUGGAGUGUCCAAUGAGUGCAGUGAAGAUAUGCUCUCUAUGCCAAAUCUAACCAUUCUCCUUAAAUACACACUUGCUGACUUGUGUUUACAUAAUCUCUGAAAAUGGGCACUGAAAUGCCUGAUUCCUGUGAUUCAAAACCAUUCCAAGCCCGAAUGGUCCCAAGCAUGACACCUUGCUUCUCAGCCUGUUUUGUGUCGUGCUCUGCUCCAAGGGUGACAGUCUGUUCCCCUGGAAUUCCAUUGGUGGUGUCAGGGGGAGCAGUGGAACCUGACGUGUGUGUGACCUGCUCAAAUAGUCAUGUAACCAGGACAAUUUCUGCUGCCUGUCUCCAGACAGAGCCUUCUGAGAACCAGAUCUUCCUCUUGGCAUUUCCAAGUGUCCUGCCUCCAGCUGGAACAAGCCCUUGCAAAGCUGUGUGUUCCAACCCAAGGUGUGUGUGCUGACAGGUGGGGUGGAAUGUCUUGAAUACAGCUCUUUUGGGGAAAAUGCAGUUUUGCUUGGGCUUGGAUCUUCAGGUAGUGCACUGGUGUAGUGCUGGGUGCCAGGACAGCCAGGCUGCCCUGGUCCUGCAGAAGAGCUGGUCCUCAGCACUCAGCAAUGGCAAAAGCAGAAUUCUGAUUGCUGUGGGUGGCUUGUGAAGUCAGGGAAGCAGGAGCCCCCUUCUGAGGUUAGAGAGGGGCAGAAGUGCUGGUCGGGGCUGUAGGGCGUGAGGCAGCAGGACUGGAGGGCAGCAGUGGCACAGGGUGCUGUGGUGGGUGCUCGUUCCCUGGUGCCACCACACUCACUGUGCCCGUCAGGGACAGUAAAAGGUCAGUACAGGCUUCUUGGUGGAGAAACUUGAAGGAAAAAAGGCUGGGUUUUCUCAUAAUAAUUUGCUGAAGUUUUAUCACUGACUAGUGACACUGAAAGAUAAGGACAGUAAUUAAGAUUCCCUCUAAAACUCUUAUGUGAUAACAGUGGAGCUUGGUGUAGUCAUAGCGACUUUUCAAAAACUAAUCCUAAUCGUUAUGAGAAUAUUACAAAUUACUUGGAAUUGCAUAAAAGCUUCAAAUUGAAUUUGUAUACACACAGUUGAAACACUUUCCUAAUACUGCACCAUUUAUCCAAUUUCCCAGCUAUGAUUUUUUAAAAAAAACCAUGUAGUGUAUAGAAAAUGUAAAUUAUAUACAGGCAAUGAGCAGAUACAUUUUCAGCUUCUUGCAAAGAAAAAGGACUGCAACCUUACAUUUUUUUCACUUAAAUGCAAUUUUAUACAUUUAUGUUGCUUUAUAUCAAGGAAAUUGAAUGUGAAUGUUACCUUUUAUGAAUGCAACUUGCUCUUUUUUCAUUACAGAAACUUUUGUUUGAAGUAAUCAAUAAACUUUGGUAUGUUGUUCUGAUUAAUAUA